GAUGAACGCUGGCGGCGUGCCUAAUACAUGCAAGUCGAGCGAAUGGAUUAAGAGCUUGCUCUUAUGAAGUUAGCGGCGGACGGGUGAGUAACACGUGGGUAACCUGCCCAUAAGACUGGGAUAACUCCGGGAAACCGGGGCUAAUACCGGAUAACAUUUUGAACCGCAUGGUUCGAAAUUGAAAGGCGGCUUCGGCUGUCACUUAUGGAUGGACCCGCGUCGCAUUAGCUAGUUGGUGAGGUAACGGCUCACCAAGGCAACGAUGCGUAGCCGACCUGAGAGGGUGCUCGGCCACACUGGGACUGAGACACGGCCCAGACUCCUACGGGAGGCAGCAGUGGGGAAUCUUCCGCAAUGGACGAAAGUCUGACGGAGCAACGCCGCGUGAGUGAUGAAGGCUUUCGGGUCGUAAAACUCUGUUGUUAGGGAAGAACAAGUGCUAGUUGAAUAAGCUGGCACCUUGACGGUACCUAACCAGAAAGCCACGGCUAACUACGUGCCAGCAGCCGCCGUAA
rnacentral:rRNA from 1 species